CCGCAGGACCCUCUACUCGGAUCGUCCGGCACGUUCCUGCCGGUGAAGGGAUGAAUUC
rfam:Nocardia terpenica strain IFM 0406 genomic scaffold scaffold1, whole genome shotgun sequence.